rnacentral:rRNA from 1 species
AACGAACGCUGGCGGCGCGCCUAAUACAUGCAAGUCGAGCGAGAAGACGUAGCAAUACGUUUGUAAAGCGGCGAACGGGUGAGGAAUACAUGGGUAACCUACCCUCGAGUGGGGAAUAACUAGCCGAAAGGUUAGCUAACACCGCGUACGCUCCUUGGACUUCGGUUCAGGGAGGAAAGCGAUACCGUGGGUAUCGCGCUCUUGGAUGGGCUCAUGUCCUACCAGCUUGUUGGUGAGGUAACGGCUCACCAAGGCUUCGACGGGUAGCUGGUCUGAGAGGACGAUCAGCCACACUGGCACUGCGACACGGGCCAGACUCCUACGGGAGGCAGCAGCAAGGAAUAUUGCGCAAUGGGCGAAAGCCUGACGCAGCGACGCCGCGUGGGGGAUGAAGGUCUUCGGAUUGUAAACCCCUUUCGGGAGGGAAGAUGGAACGAGCAAUCGUUCGGACGGUACCUCCAGAAGC